CACAAUUUUCUUUGAAAAAAAAAAUAUAUUCUGCCGAGAUCCCCCUCUUCUCUCCCUUACGCGUUCCUCUUCGUUACUUCCCUAUGAUCUACAAAUUUCAUUCCAAAAUUAUUUCAGUCAAAGGAAACAAUUAAAUCUCACAUUUAUUUGUGAUAUCAAAUUCCUCAAAUUUUCAAUUGCUCCAAACCCAAUCACUUUUAAUUCUAAUUGAUUGGAGAAUCAAUUACUCACUCCACUCCAGGAACGGUUAUUUAUACCUUAUUCUGCUCUUCCAGCAGUCUCCUACACAUUCACUCAUUUUCCAAUUCACAAACCAAGAGCAAAGAGUUGAGACAAAGAUCCUUCAUCGUCCAUUGCUUUCCACUCUAACAAGAGAGAAGGAAGAAAAGGGAGUAGCCGGGAAGAACCAAGUCCGACCCCCCUUUCACUCUCUUGACACUCUCCGUUCGACCCCGAGAUCGGAGGUUAGAGGCAUGUUGUUCAGAAUCCUUUCACCCUUCAAUCCACCCAGUCGCAAAUUCACUUCUCCGGAAGGUAUACACAUUUCUCACCCAAUUUCAAAUUCUUACUACUGCAUUCAUACAUCCUUCACUACCGUUUAACAAAAAUUUGAAACCAAAUCGACUGAUUGAGAGUAAUCGAAACAAACCAAGUAAAAGAUCAAACUUUUAAUCGAAAAUUUUGAACUUAUCUGUGGGAUUGUUCGGGGUGAGAUCGAGACAGCCGGAGCGGCGACGCAGCGUCUGCUGCGGCGCCGGGCUUUGGCGGUGGAGCAGAUAUGUGUACACCUACGGUAGACCGUGUGUUAGCAUACGGGUUGGCCGGUCUAGUGACUUGGUUUGUGGCCACAUUCCAAGUCAUGUAUGAGCAGAUAUGGUUGACGUUUAUGGGAAAAUGGUCGGCCGACCGCGAUUUUUGAAUGAUGGAAUAUUUUGGUGGCUCGGGCAUUUCUAAAGUUAAAACCCCGAUGGUUACCUGAAAUUGGUUGAGCGGCGACGAGCUUGGGUAGUGUUGAGUCGAACCUUAAUUAUUCUUGGAUUUAUUUUGAACUUCGAGGGGCGUCGUGUCUUCAUACAUGGUGUCACUCUUACUCUUGAAUGCUUCCGCUAAGUAAUACUAUUUUUCGCAAAUGAUGUUUUUGAACCCCUUUUCCCUCUUGGAUUAUAAAUUAUGAUAAUUGUUGACUUGGGUUUUAAAACCUAAACACUUACUCUGAUUUUUCCCUUGUUAUUUGAGUAUUAAUUAUCUUUGUCAAA